rnacentral:rRNA from 1 species
CCUACGGGGGGCAGCAGUGGGGAAUAUUGGGCAAUGGGCGCAAGCCUGACCCAGCAACGCCGCGUGAAGGAAGAAGGCUUUCGGGUUGUAAACUUCUUUUCUGAGGGACGAAGAAAGUGACGGUACCUCAGGAAUAAGCCACGGCUAACUACGUGCCAACAGCCGCGGUAAUACGUAGGUGGCAAGCGUUAUCCGGAUUUAUUGGGGGUAAAGGGCGUGUAGGCGGGAAAGCAAGUCAGAGGUGAAAACUCAGGGCUCAACCCUGAGCCUGCAUUUGAAACUGUUUUUCUUGAGUGCGGGAGAGGCAAUCGGAAUUCCGGGUGUAGCGGUGAAAUGCGUAGAUAUACGGAAGAACACCAGUGGCGAAGGCAGAUUGCUGGACAGUAACUGACGCUGAGGCGCGAAAGCGUGGGGAGCAAACAGGAUUAGAUACCCUUGUAGUC